GACCUCCAUACUAUAACCGGGUUCCAGUGAAGGGUGUCGUCGUGAGUGUGGAGCAGCUGGAGCUGGGUGAAGGAAAUGGAUCAAUGUCGCUUGUUUGAGGCUGGACUUGGUCGAGUGCAACCUGGAGAAACAGGUCGAGGCCAGCAUAGUGUCUGCCAAGUACUUACGGACUAUUAAAUGCUACAAUGAGCUUACGAGAACACUGCCAAGAAAAUGGUACAAGAGAAGUGGGAGAAGCUCGCAUGCAAGACAUGAAGGUCAGUGGGACACGUCCACAGCAUGCAUGAGGUCGAGCUGCUCGCCCCCAAGGCCCACCAUGGCGACCUCAUCGUCGCUGUUCAAUA